CCUACGUGCGGCAGCAGUGGGGGAUAUUGCACAAUGGGGGGAACCCUGAUGCAGCGACGCCGCGUGGGUGAAGAAGCGCCUCGGCGCGUAAAGCCCUGUCUUCAGGGACGAUAAUGACGGUACCUGAGGAGGAAGCCACGGCUAACUACGUGCCAGCAGCCGCGGUAAUACGUAGGUGGCGAGCGUUGUCCGGAUUUACUGGGCGUAAAGGGAGCGUAGGCGGACUUUUAAGUGAGAUGUGAAAUACUCGGGCUCAACUUGAGUGCUGCAUUUCAAACUGGAAGUCUAGAGUGCAGGAGAGGAGAAUGGAAUUCCUAGUGUAGCGGUGAAAUGCGUAGAGAUUAGGGAGAACACCAGUGGCGAAGGCGAUUCUCUGGACUGUAACUGACGCUGAGGCUCGAAAGCGUGGGGAGCAAACAGGAUUAGAUACCCCAGUAGUC
rnacentral:rRNA from 1 species